GGCAGGUUACUAANCAACAACUGACGCUGAUGGACGAAAGCGUGGGGAGCGAACAGGAUUAGAUNCCNUGGUANNNACGCCGUAAACGAUGCUAACUCGUUUUUGGAAUGUAAGUUUCAGAGACUAAGCGAAAGUGAUAAGUUAGCCACCUGGGGAGUACGAACGCAAGUUUGAAACUCAAAGGAAUUGACGGGGGCCCGCACAAGCGGUGGAUUAUGUGGUUUAAUUCGAUGAUACGCGAGGAACCUUACCAAGGCUUAAAUGGGAAAUGACAGGUUUAGAAAUAGACUUUUCUUCGGACAUUUUUCAAGGUGCUGCAUGGUUGUCGUCAGCUCGUGCCGUGAGGUGUUAGGUUAAGUCCUGCAACGAGCGCAACCCCUGUCACUAGUUGCCAUCAUUAAGUUGGGGACUCUAGUGAGACUGCCUACGCAAGUAGAGAGGAAGGUGGGGAUGACGUCAAAUCAUCACGGCCCUUACGCCUUGGGCCACACACGUAAUACAAUGGCCGGUACAGAGGGCAGCUACACUGCGAAGUGAUGCAAAUCUCGAAAGCCGGUCUCAGUUCGGAUUGGAGUCUGCAACUCGACUCUAUGAAGCUGGAAUCGCUAGUAAUCGCGCAUCAGCCAUGGCGCGGUGAAUACGUUCCCGGGCCUUGUACACACCGCCCGUCAAGCCAUGGAAGUCUGGGGUACCUGAAGUCGGUGACCGUAACAGGAGCUGCCUAGGGUAAAACAGGUAACUAGGGCU
rnacentral:rRNA from 1 species